rnacentral:rRNA from 1 species
GAUGAACGCUGGCGGCGUGCCUAAUACAUGCAAGUCGAGCGGACAGACGAGGAUCUUGCUUCUCUGAUGUUUGCGGCGCGCGUGUGAGUAACACGUGGAUAACCUCCCUAUAAUACUGGUAUAACUUGGGGAAACCGGAGCUAAUACCGUAUGAUAUUUUGAAGCGCGUUGGGCGAAGGUAAAAGUCGGUCUUUCUGUCACUUAUAGAGGGAUCCGCGCUUGAUUGUGUGGUUGUUAAGGUAACGGGUUUUCAAGGCAGCGAUGCAUAUCCGAACUGAGUGGGUGGUAGGCCACAUUGGAAGUGAGACAGCGUCAAGAGUCCUACGGGACGCAGCAGUAGGGAAUGGUAGGCAAUGGGCGAAAGCCUGACGCAGCAACGCCGCGUGAGUGGUGAAGGCCUUCGGAUCGUAAAAAUGUGUUAUUAGUGAAGAACAUAUGUGUAAGUAACUGUGGCCAUAUUGACGGUAACGAAUAAGAAAGCACCGGCUAACUACGUG